GCGCCCAGGCGCACCCAGAAACCCUUUGUGAACUUAUACCUUACUGUUGCCUCGGCGCAUGCCGGCCCCCCUGGGGGCCCCUCCUUCUGGAGGAGCAGGCACGCCGGCGGCCAACCUAACUCUUGUUUUUACACUGAAACUCUGAGAAUAAAACAUAAAUGAAUCAAAACUUUCAACAACGGAUCUCUUGGUUCUGGCAUCGAUGAAGAACGCAGCGAAAUGCGAUAAGUAAUGUGAAUUGCAGAAUUCAGUGAAUCAUCGAAUCUUUGAACGCACAUUGCGCCCUCUGGUAUUCCGGAGGGCAUGCCUGUUCGAGCGUCAUUUCAACCCUCAAGCCUGGCUUGGUGAUGGGGCACUGCCUGUAAAAAGGCAAGCCCUGAAAUUCAUUGGCGAGCUCGCCAGGACCCCCAGCGCACUAAUUAAACCCUCGCUUUGUAAGGACCGGGCGGGGCCCUGCCGGUAAACCCCCAACUUCCGAAAAUUUGACCUCGGAUCAAGUAGGAAUACCCACUGAACUUAAUCAUAUC
rnacentral:rRNA from 1 species